ACUAAAUUACGAAGAAAAGACACAUUAUUUUGUCAUUGUUCAAGCAAAUGACUGAGGACAGAAUCUUAAUGAGCGAAGGACAAGUACAACCAGCCUGACAGUAGAUGUGCUCGAUGGGGACGAUGUGGGACCAAUGUUUCUUCCCUGUGUCUUGGUGAAUAAUACUCGUGACUGUAGACCUCUCACCUACCAAGCGAGCUUGCCAGAACUGACUGAUCCUGCCACCCAAGACGGUCUUGAAUCGCUCCACUCCAUCCAUUUCUGCUCUUCCAGUAAAAGGCUCCAGCACCUGCUCACAGCUGCAAUGAGAGAGGAUCAGCAGCUACCCCACAAGCCAGGACAGGAGUGUGCAAGUGCAGACCCGUUGUAAAACAAAGAGUGGGACUCAGAAGAAAGACUCCACUGAGAGGCCACUAACAGUCAAAAGCUCAAGAGCAGCAAAAGGCAGGACUUCUACCACCGUGUACACGGGUUGAGGCAGGACACAGGGAGUACACAGACCCUUCACAGCAUCUAUCAUCAUGCAAGGGACUUUGAUACCAACAGCUCUUGCCGGGAGCAGCAUCCUCUCUUUUGUACCCAGCGGUGUUUUGCACCCAAACUAAGGAGCAAAGAAAGUUGCAAUCAAUGUCUGAGACCAGGCCAGCUCUGAAGAAGAGGGUGAUGGGAAUGCCUCGUGACUGAGGGCGCUCUGAGGAAUAACCAUGAGAAAACACUUGCUCCAGAACCUUGUCCAAACAUCUAUGUGACCCUUCUUUCUGAUGGGACAGAGGAGUGACAAGAAAGGGAAAGAUGC